rnacentral:lncRNA from 13 species
AUGGUCUUCAGGUUUUCUGACUCCAGGAGGCCAUCCAGAGGUGUACGUGUGGGUCACGGGGGUCACCAUGGCAUCCGUGGCUCGGUCAGACCUCACGGUGAGCACAUCGUCUGCUCAGACACCUCAACAAAGAAAAAAUGCAGCUGGCAGAGACAUGGCACGUCAUUAGGAGCUGCGGUUAAAACAGCACAGAGACACUACCACACACCUAUUGGAGUGGCCCAAAUCCAAAACACCGACAAUGCCAAACGCUGGGGUGGAUGUGCAGCCACACGAGUCUCAUGCACACGGGACUGCAGCAGGAUACAGCCACUCUGGAACACAGAAAUGAGGAUGGCAGCCGGGAUCCAGGGCGAGUCCCAUUGGAGCAGAGCUGCCCACACACGGUGUGGCUGAAACAAGACGUCCUAUCACAGUCCCAGAGGCCAAAUCCAGACUCAGUGUCACUGGGUGGAAGCCGAGGUGUCAUCAGGGAUGGCUCCUUCCGGAAGCUCCGGGACAAACCUGUUCCUUGGAUUUGCCUGUUUCUAGAGGCUGCCUUGGCCAAGCCCUCCCUAUGUCUUCAAAGCCAACACUCUUACUGCUUCCAUCUUCUCAGUGCCUUCCCCUCCGCCUCCUUCCCUGUCAUUCCGGUCCAAGGACUCCUGUGGUGACCUGGGGCCCACCCUGAUAAUCUAAGAUAAGCUCCCCUCUCCAGAACAAUUGACAUCUUCAAAGUCCCUUCGACCUGAUAAGGCCACGUCUCACUGGUGUCAGGGAUGAGCAUGUGAACCUCUCUGGAGGGAGCGUUAUUUUACCCACAACGCAGCCAUUUGUUGAAAUUUGGGUGAGGAAGACGGGUUCUUUGGGGCCCAGAGAGUGUGCAGUGCCUGUGGACUGUGGAGGUGUCCCUGUGGCCCCCGGGUGAGGUCAGAAGUGAGGCUGCUGGAGUCCAGGCAGAGCUCUGGAAGCCACCAGCUGGCAGUGGCAUCUGUGUGAAAACAAGAGCAAGUGAGAGAAGUAAGGGCAGCGGAGGGGCCUGAAUCCUGAAGCACCUGACUCCAGAAUUGGAGUGUCUGGUGAUGAAGCUUAGGUGGAGAGGGAUACACUGAGAAAGGCUGAGUUGUAGAGCUGGGGCUGAGCUGGUGGGAUGGGACCACAGGGGCUGAGCUGGUGGGAUGGGACCACAGGGGCUGAGCUGGUGGGAUGGGACCACAGGGGCUGAGCUGGUGGGAUGGGACCACAGGGGCUGAGCUGGUGGGAUGGGACCACAGGGGCUGAGCUGGUGGGAUGGGACCACAGGGGCUGAGCUGGUGGGAUGGGGCCAUUGGGGGCUGAGUUGGUGGGAUGGGGCCAUUGGGGGCUGAGUUGGGUGGGAUGGGACCACAGGGGCCGAGCUGGUGGGAUGGGGCCAUUGGGGGCUGAGCUGGUGGGACUGGAUCAUAGGGUCUGAGCUGGCGGGAUGGGGCCAUUAGGGGCUCAGUUGGUGGGAUGGGGCCAUCAUGGUGAUUUGGGGGGAUGGGGCAACUGGUGUUGGGUUGCGUGGGAUGGGCGGCUUGGUGUAGCUAGGGUGGUCCUGGUGGCUGAUGGUUCUGCCCCAGUUCAGGCAGACUAGGCUGGUCUGAGACACUUGUUUCUGGUGUAGGGUUUGUGACUGUCAGGAAGAGUUGGGCA